GAUUAAGUUAUUAAGGGCGCACGGUGGAUGCCUUGGCACUAGAAGCCGAUGAAGGACGUUACUAACGACGAUAUGCUUUGGGGAGCUGUAAGUAAGCUUUGAUCCAGAGAUUUCCGAAUGGGGAAACCCAGCAUGAGUUAUGUCAUGUUAUCGAUAUGUGAAUACAUAGCAUAUCAGAAGGCACACCCGGAGAACUGAAACAUCUUAGUACCCGGAGGAAGAGAAAGAAAAUUCGAUUCCCUUAGUAGCGGCGAGCGAAACGGGAAGAGCCCAAACCAACAAGCUUGCUUGUUGGGGUUGUAGGACACUCUAUACGGAGUUACAAAGGACGACAUUAGACGAAUCAUCUGGAAAGAUGAAUCAAAGAAGGUAAUAAUCCUGUAGUCGAAAAUGUUGUCUCUCUUGAGUCGAUCCUGAGUACGACGGAGCACGUGAAAUUCCGUCGGAAUCUGGGAGGACCAUCUCCUAAGGCUAAAUACUCUCUAGUGACCGAUAGUGAACCAGUACCGUGAGGGAAAGGUGAAAAGCACCCCGGAAGGGGAGUGAAAUAGAACCUGAAACCGUGUGCUUACAAGUAGUCAGAGCCCGUUAAUGGGUGAUGGCGUGCCUUUUGUAGAAUGAACCGGCGAGUUACGAUUUGAUGCAAGGUUAAGCAGUAAAUGUGGAGCCGUAGCGAAAGCGAGUCUGAAUAGGGCGUUUAGUAUUUGGUCGUAGACCCGAAACCAGGUGAUCUACCCUUGGUCAGGUUGAAGUUCAGGUAACACUGAAUGGAGGACCGAACCGACUUACGUUGAAAAGUGAGCGGAUGAACUGAGGGUAGCGGAGAAAUUCCAAUCGAACCUGGAGAUAGCUGGUUCUCUCCGAAAUAGCUUUAGGGCUAGCCUCAAGUGAUGAUUAUUGGAGGUAGAGCACUGUUUGGACGAGGGGCCCCUCUCGGGUUACCGAAUUCAGACAAACUCCGAAUGCCAAUUAAUUUAACUUGGGAGUCAGAACAUGGGUGAUAAGGUCCGUGUUCGAAAGGGAAACAGCCCAGACCACCAGCUAAGGUCCCAAAAUAUAUGUUAAGUGGAAAAGGAUGUGGCGUUGCCCAGACAACUAGGAUGUUGGCUUAGAAGCAGCCAUCAUUUAAAGAGUGCGUAAUAGCUCACUAGUCGAGUGACACUGCGCCGAAAAUGUACCGGGGCUAAACAUAUUACCGAAGCUGUGGAUUGUCCUUUGGACAAUGGUAGGAGAGCGUUCUAAGGGCGUUGAAGCAUGAUCGUAAGGACAUGUGGAGCGCUUAGAAGUGAGAAUGCCGGUGUGAGUAGCGAAAGACGGGUGAGAAUCCCGUCCACCGAUUGACUAAGGUUUCCAGAGGAAGGCUCGUCCGCUCUGGGUUAGUCGGGUCCUAAGCUGAGGCCGACAGGCGUAGGCGAUGGAUAACAGGUUGAUAUUCCUGUACCACCUAUAAUCGUUUUAAUCGAUGGGGGGACGCAGUAGGAUAGGCGAAGCGUGCGAUUGGAUUGCACGUCUAAGCAGUAAGGCUGAGUAUUAGGCAAAUCCGGUACUCAUUAAGGCUGAGCUGUGAUGGGGAGAAGACAUUGUGUCUUCGAGUCGUUGAUUUCACACUGCCGAGAAAAGCCUCUAGAUAGAAAAUAGGUGCCCGUACCGCAAACCGACACAGGUAGUCAAGAUGAGAAUUCUAAGGUGAGCGAGCGAACUCUCGUUAAGGAACUCGGCAAAAUGACCCCGUAACUUCGGGAGAAGGGGUGCUCUUUAGGGUUAACGCCCAGAAGAGCCGCAGUGAAUAGGCCCAAGCGACUGUUUAUCAAAAACACAGGUCUCUGCUAAACCGUAAGGUGAUGUAUAGGGGCUGACGCCUGCCCGGUGCUGGAAGGUUAAGAGGAGUGGUUAGCUUCUGCGAAGCUACGAAUCGAAGCCCCAGUAAACGGCGGCCGUAACUAUAACGGUCCUAAGGUAGCGAAAUUCCUUGUCGGGUAAGUUCCGACCCGCACGAAAGGCGUAACGAUUUGGGCACUGUCUCAACGAGAGACUCGGUGAAAUCAUAGUACCUGUGAAGAUGCAGGUUACCCGCGACAGGACGGAAAGACCCCGUGGAGCUUUACUGUAGCCUGAUAUUGAAAUUCGGCACAGCUUGUACAGGAUAGGUAGGAGCCUUUGAAACGUGAGCGCUAGCUUACGUGGAGGCGCUGGUGGGAUACUACCCUAGCUGUGUUGGCUUUCUAACCCGCACCACUUAUCGUGGUGGGAGACAGUGUCAGGCGGGCAGUUUGACUGGGGCGGUCGCCUCCUAAAAGGUAACGGAGGCGCUCAAAGGUUCCCUCAGAAUGGUUGGAAAUCAUUCAUAGAGUGUAAAGGCAUAAGGGAGCUUGACUGCGAGACCUACAAGUCGAGCAGGGUCGAAAGACGGACUUAGUGAUCCGGUGGUUCCGCAUGGAAGGGCCAUCGCUCAACGGAUAAAAGCUACCCCGGGGAUAACAGGCUUAUCUCCCCCAAGAGUUCACAUCGACGGGGAGGUUUGGCACCUCGAUGUCGGCUCAUCGCAUCCUGGGGCUGUAGUCGGUCCCAAGGGUUGGGCUGUUCGCCCAUUAAAGCGGUACGCGAGCUGGGUUCAGAACGUCGUGAGACAGUUCGGUCCCUAUCCGUCGUGGGCGUAGGAAAUUUGAGAGGAGCUGUCCUUAGUACGAGAGGACCGGGAUGGACAUACCUCUGGUGUACCAGUUGUCGUGCCAACGGCAUAGCUGGGUAGCUAUGUGUGGACGGGAUAAGUGCUGAAAGCAUCUAAGCAUGAAGCCCCCCUCAAGAUGAGAUUUCCCAACUUCGGUUAUAAGAUCCCUCAAAGAUGAUGAGGUUAAUAGGUUCGAGGUGGAAGCAUGGUGACAUGUGGAGCUGACGAAUACUAA
rnacentral:rRNA from 1 species